rnacentral:lncRNA from 7 species
AACUUUUGCAACAAGUGUUUGUAUUUAGGCACUCCUCUUUGCCAGUGCUGCUCAUGGCGCAGCUCUUGUUUUCUUCACCUCCGAGCUCUCUGGAGGAGGCUUGGUGCUCUGCAUCUGAAGCUGUUCCAGCUCGCUUCCACAUCGGGGGUGGAAUAUUGCUGCCGAACCACUGCUCGGCCAGUUGUCUUGACAUGCCUCGACAUUAGGGAGAGAUGUUUCCUAACUCGUGUUGGAAGAGUUCCUGCAAAACAAAAGCUGUGGGAUACCUCGAGGCUUGCACCAACACACCUUCCUGCUGCUGGCUUUGUGCAACGCGCUUUCUUGUGUGGUCUGGCAAUGAAGGAUCCUGUGGGUUGUGAGGCUGUGAGCAACACGUGACUGCCGGCUCCAGAGUCUGCGUGCUCCUCUGGGUGGAAGGAAGCUUCCUCAUCCCGCACGUAUCCAGCGGGGGUCGGUGCAAUGCAAAAGGCCACCUCUCAGCGUGGCUGUCCUGCCUCUCUGGGGCUUGUCGCCUUCCUGGAGCGGACGGUGAUGACGCUGACAAAGACAGACAGAGUCUCGUUGGCCCUUAUAGUGGCUGUGCUUUUUACUUCUAUGUUAUUCCUUUCACGUGAAAGCCUGGGAGGACUUUCAAGUACUUUGAGCACUUGGCGAGUAUAACCGUACCCGUUUCACAGGUUGAAGAACCCGUGAGACACACAACCGCUAAGUGAAAGAGAUUGCCUGGGAGUGGCACAGCAUCAGAGGAAGAGCUGCAAAAAUAAUCUAGGGCUCCCAAUACUUUUUAUCCCGUCUUAGUCUCCAGGCAACAGCAAAUAUUUCUCCCGAAUGCUCUGGACGAGCAGAUGCCAACGUUGAUUCACAGGAAAAGGAUGUAGCCACGCAAGCCCUAGAAGUGUUGUUUGGGAUGGUAGCCACGGCCCCUGAGGAGACAUUAAUCCGUAUGGAGCAAACGCCAGUGAAGUUAUUUCUAUUGCUGUAUUUGCUAUGAAGAGAUUUCUUGAGCAGUCUAAUGUGGAAGCCAUCGUGAUUCACCCCAAUUAUAGCUACAGUGAGAGAAUAGACUGUGCUUCUCGGCUCUGGAUGUGCUGCAAGGGCUCUGGGGCACGAGCAAAGUCCUGCUUUACUAAGACGUUGCAGCCAUGAGAGAUGAGGAAAGGUUAUGUCCAAGGCCAACACGAGAGUGUAAAAAGCGUGCUUGUGCUUGGAAAAGGGUCAGUGCUGAAAAUGUGCAAAGAGGUUCCCUGCUUAUUUCCUCUCAGCCUCAGAUCGUGUGUGCCAUGUUUACGAUAAACCUCAUGAUUUUAGACUUGCAAAAUUAUCAGGGGACUGAAAAGCCAUGAACAAACCUAACUGACCCUCUCUUAAGAGUGCACAGCCAAAAUACCUAGGGGAACUGCAGGAAACUAUUUUCCUCUAAAUUUAGUUAAUGUGGCUUUGGAUUCUCGGGCUGAAUCUGCUGACCAAGAUAUUUUCCUUCUUCUGGCACUUUUCUGACCAGCAAAACACUUUCAACGUGCAUGAAAACAACGCUGGAAAUGUUUUUAAACCCUCUGGAAGCUCGUUUCAAAAGCAGGCAGCCUGAGAGAACUGGAGGGCAGGCAGCUGGACAAGGCCAGAGGUCUCGUGAUGGGGGCUGGAGACAGGCAGCCCAUGGGCUUAUCAGUGUAUCAUCCAGGUUGGCAGAGAUUUCUAGUGAGUCAUCUGGACCUUCACUCUUAACUAUGACAGGACUGAUCUCGGUAUCCCCAAACCACCUCUCCGGCACAGAGAGCUGUCUUGCCUUAGUCUUGAUGUCCCCAGUGCCAGCACUUCCUCAGCGUUCCCACCUCAGGGUAGUUCACUGCUCAGGCUGUUGUAACCUCUCUAUAAUUUCACCUCAUAUUUCCUCUGACCGUCUUCUGCGGAGGUUUAUGGUCAUCAGCUUCGUGCCCCAUCCCUUUUGCUUAACAAGACCAGAGCCCAGCUCCUAGAUAAGUCCUUGCCGUUCUCUUCAUCAGCCUGGUCCCAGGGGAUCUGCUUCUCCAAACCUUUCUGCUGCUCUCUUUCCAUGUCUCUUCCGUGAAUAAGGUGUCCUAAAACAGCCCUGUGCUUCACUUUCAUCCUGGUUCUCCUCUCACUGAUGCUGUUCUACCUCUUUUUCUGGUAGAAUUUUGUGGGAAUUCUUGGAAAUGUAUCCCUGCUGGGUUGCGCGUAUGGGCAUGCAUGUAGGAAUAUCCAGCUCCGAUGGGAGUGCCAUGCUCUGCUGUCAGGCACUCAGAGGAAGCUGUGCUCCUGCCCUUCAGCUUUCCUUCCUGAAGGAGAGAUUCUCAUCCCUGUCCCCAGGGAAUGCGGGCUUUGAAACGUAAGUUGAUUUCUUCCCACUUAUCAUUAUCUUUGUUUACAUAAAUUACAGCGCUUAACAGUGGCCAUAAAAUUAUCUGUCC